GGGUUGUGAGGUUAAGCGACUAAGCGUACACGGUGGAUGCCCUGGCAGUCAGAGGCGAUGAAGGGCGUGCUAAUCUGCGAUAAGCGCCGGUAAGGUGAUAUGAACCGUUAUAACCGGCGAUACCCGAAUGGGGAAACCCAGUGUGAUUCGUCACACUAUCAUUAACUGAAUCCAUAGGUUAAUGAGGCGAACCGGGGGAACUGAAACAUCUAAGUACCCCGAGGAAAAGAAAUCAACCGAGAUUCCCCCAGUAGCGGCGAGCGAACGGGGAGGAGCCCAGAGCCUGAAUCAGCAUGUGUGUUAGUGGAAGCGUCUGGAAAGGCGCGCGAUACAGGGUGACAGCCCCGUACACAAAAGCGCAUGUGCUGUGAGCUCGAUGAGUAGGGCGGGACACGUGGUAUCCUGUCUGAAUAUGGGGGGACCAUCCUCCAAGGCUAAAUACUCCUGACUGACCGAUAGUGAACCAGUACCGUGAGGGAAAGGCGAAAAGAACCCCGGCGAGGGGAGUGAAAAAGAACCUGAAACCGUGUACGUACAAGCAGUGGGAGCCCCACCACCAAAGCAUUUGCUGUACCGCGUUGACGGAGCGAAGCGACGUCAAACCGAUAAAACAGCAGUGUAAAGUGAGCCGCAGGGCGCUUUGCGCGACAGCGCAAAGGCAGGCGGUUUCGCGUAGCGAAAGCGAAUGCUUUGGGGUGGGGUGACUGCGUACCUUUUGUAUAAUGGGUCAGCGACUUAUAUUCUGUAGCAAGGUUAACCGUAUAGGGGAGCCGUAGGGAAACCGAGUCUUAACCGGGCGUUAAGUUGCAGGGUAUAGACCCGAAACCCGGUGAUCUAGCCAUGGGCAGGUUGAAGGUUGGGUAACACUAACUGGAGGACCGAACCGACUAAUGUUGAAAAAUUAGCGGAUGACCUGUGGCUGGGGGUGAAAGGCCAAUCAAACCGGGAGAUAGCUGGUUCUCCCCGAAAGCUAUUUAGGUAGCGCCUCGUGAAUUCAUCUCCGGGGGUAGAGCACUGUUUCGGCUAGGGGGCCAUCCCGGCUUACCAACCCGAUGCAAACUGCGAAUACCGGAGAAUGUUAUCACGGGAGACACACGGCGGGUGCUAACGUCCGUCGUGAAGAGGGAAACAACCCAGACCGCCAGCUAAGGUCCCAAAGUCAUGGUUAAGUGGGAAACGAUGUGGGAAGGCCCAGACAGCCAGGAUGUUGGCUUAGAAGCAGCCAUCAUUUAAAGAAAGCGUAAUAGCUCACUGGUCGAGUCGGCCUGCGCGGAAGAUGUAACGGGGCUAAACCAUGCACCGAAGCUGCGGCAGCGAACGUAUCACCC
rnacentral:rRNA from 1 species